AGGGUUCGAUUCUGGCUCAGGAUGAACGCUAGCUACAGGCUUAACACAUGCAAGUCGAGGGGCAGCGGGAAGUCAGCUUGCUGACUUGCCGGCGACCGGCGCACGGGUGAGUAACGCGUAUCCAACCUUCCCCUUAGUAGGGCAUAGCCGUAGAAAUGCGGAUUAAUACCCUAUGUUGUUCGAUGCGGACAUCUAAGUUGAACCAAAGGUUUACCGCUAAGGGAUGGGGAUGCGUCUGAUUAGGCAGCAGGCGGGGUAACGGCCCACCUGGCCGACGAUCAGUAGGGGUUCUGAGAGGAAGGUCCCCCACAUUGGAACUGAGACACGGUCCAAACUCCUACGGGAGGCAGCAGUGAGGAAUAUUGGUCAAUGGGCGAGAGCCUGAACCAGCCAAGUAGCGUGCAGGAUGACGGCCCUAUGGGUUGUAAACUGCUUUUAUGCGGGGAUAAAGUCACCCACGUGUGGGUGUUUGUAGGUACCGCAUGAAUAAGGACCGGCUAAUUCCGUGCCAGCAGCGGC
rnacentral:rRNA from 1 species